GUUUUCAGUUGGUAGAGCAUGAGACUCUUAAUCUCAGAGUCAUGAGUUCAAUCCCAAUGUUGAGCA